rnacentral:rRNA from 1 species
UACGUAGGAUGCAAGCGUCGUCCGGAAUUAUUGGGCGUAAAGAGCGCGCAGGCGGUGUGCCAAGUCAGAUGUGAAAUAUCCCGGCUUAACCGGGAGGGGUCAUUUGAAACUGGUAGACUAGAGUACAGCAGAGGAUAGUGGAAUUCCCGGUGUAGUGGUGAAAUGCGUAGAUAUCGGGAGGAACACCAGUGGCGAAGGCGACUAUCUGGGCUGAAACUGACGCUGAGGCGCGAAGGCUAGGGGAGCAAACAGG